ensembl:lncRNA
UUUUAAAUACAGUUUUUGUCUGUAUUUUUGAUCAAAUAAAUGCAGGCUUGAUGAGCAUAAGAUAUUUUCAUAAUGCUGUUUAAUUAUCAAAAAUGGUAAUAUAAUAAAGUCCUUUCACGGCACCAUUUUGCCCUCCUACAUUUCACAUAACAGGCCUGUAGGUGGCACUUGGGCUUCAUUAUUUAUGAUAGUUUCAUGAAAUAGUAAACGGUGUAAAUAUAAGGGAACUGAAUACUGGUUACCAUUAUUGCGACUUUUGGCACUGCAUGGUUUUGUGCAGUGCUUUUGUAGUAAUUUAGCAUACAUUUUCUCAGCAAUGUAAUUUGAUUUAUAAAAAUGAGUCAAACCGCAGAUCCAGAUCACUCCACAAAGGUAAGCUUGUCUGUCCAUGUAAUUUUCAACUGAUUCAUGAAUAAGAACAGAAAAUGACCACUCUACUUCACUCUGUUGUCCAAUGAAAUUUGAACUUGUGCCAGAUCGUUAUUGGUUGGUGUAUUAUACAUGACAAACGGGGAAUGAUGAACUAUGUAAUAUUCUAACAUAAUUAAAUCGACACACUAGCUUUGAUUAUUGAUGAAAAAAGUUAAAAAUAUUGUUUAGUUUAUUUUUUCCUUCCCGCAACCCUAGUCACUGAAAAGAAGGUUUCCGAACAGACUGUGGAAUAUCACAUAUGUCAGUCAAGCAAAACGCACACAACCCAAUGCCUCAGAUUGCAGAUAUGUGUAUUAAAAAAAAAAGAAAAAAAAGGGAAUUUUCCAACAUUUGAGUGAUUAAUUACUGUUCCCUUUCAAGGGAACUUUGAACUGCGUCCUCUAGGGGUCGCUAUGGGGAACACCUCGUCGUGACCUGUGUCUGAAACAUACGUUGAAAAAACACCAACGAGUUGGCCUCUGACGUCACUACAGGCGCGACUAUAAACAGCCACCGGGAGAACACGUCAUUCUCUUCUUCGUCUUCACUGACUGUUCUGUUUGAAGUGUGCAUCUGAAAGAACUGGUAAGAGCAAUCUUUCUCUGUCUAUCAUGGCGACUACUAGCAAGCAUUUAGACAAUGUGUGCAUCCGUGUCAGCGUUAUUUGACACCCGAUGACACACGAUCUUUGCGUCAUUUGUUUUUUGGGUGAAGAGCACGCACGCGAUGUCUUUGAGGAGGCAAUCUGCGUGCAUUGUGAGUGUUUUUUCAAUGAUAAAGCUCCGCUCUCGUUCGUCUCUCUUUCCGAGGGAUGAGAGAGAGCCUCAGGAGGAUGAUGUUAUAUCUUUAACACUUUCUGAUACUGAGGUUAGUGCUCUGCUGGGUUUUUACCCAGGAAAAGCAGGAGAUAUUUGAGGAUGGUGAAGAAGCUGAGGCUGAGCCUUCUCAAUUCUCCUGCCCUGCGUAUGUAGAGCUGUUGGAGGUUAUGGAUCGUGCCACGGCAAGGUUGGACUUGCCAUGAAAGUGCGCUAACAAGGUGAUGCCGUGAAGCCAUCUCGAUGAGCAUUAUCUGUCUGACCAUAGCCCUCCAGCUCAGGUGAGCCUUCCAUUUCUGCCUGAUCUCCAUACAGAGAUCGAAAAGAAAUGAAAGAGGCUGUUUUCUUCUCACAUCCAUCGGUUUUGGCAUAAGAGUUGUGCCGACAUCAAGGCGAUGCAUGAAAACAGCUAUGAGAGGAUGCCCCCUGUAGAAAGAGCUUUCUUUCUGCGGGGGAGACAUCCCCUCUUAAUCUCCUUCCUUUCCAUCUAAGCCCCUUCAAAGAAAUACAUCUCGCUUAAAAGGCAUACGCAGCAGCAGGUCAGGCUGUGGCUUUAUUACACACAAUGGUGGUGCUUCAAGCAUAUCAGACUGAUCUGCUAAGAGACCUGGAUAGAGGCGAGGGCCUUUUUCCUGAUCAGGUAGCCGAGCUGCGCCGCACCACAGAUCUUUCUCCAGGCAACCAAGCAGGCCACCUCUGCCAUGGGCAGGACUAUGGCUGCCAUGGUGGUAGCGGAGAGACAUCUGUGGAUGAACCUGGCAGACAUCGGGAAGAAAGAAAAUGCGUUCUUCUCGAUGCUCAGGUUUCGCCUUCUGAACUUUUUGGUAUUCCGUUGAGAUGGUGAUCGAGAAGUUCAGGGAGAUGAAGGUGUGCUCCGCUGCUUUCAGAUCCUUCAUUCCACGAAGGUCCAGGUCUGAGCCCGAACAACAUGGGGUCCUGGCCUGUCUUGAUCUGAGGAUCAAAGACGGGCACAGAAGGCUAGUGUCGCGGCUCGCGCUCCUCCCCCACCUGCGGGCAGGGGUAAGAGGAAUCGUGGGUCACAAGGAGGUAAGCAGAAUCUAAGGGAUGUGAUCCAGAUGAGGCAGCAUUCUCGUCUGAAUCAGAGCGAUACCGAGGUAUCUACUCGUUCCCUUUAGGGAUUUUUAAAUUCUGCUUUUAUCCUUCCCUUCCUAAUUCCCCUGUAACCACCAGCUCUCCACCUGAUCGAGGUUAGGUGGAAACCUCUCGCAUAACAGUCUCCUAUGCUGGACCUAUAAUGUUUUUGGCUGGUUCUAUGUUCAUAGCAACCACCUUACUGAUGGUCACCCUGAGGGGUCUCCUGGCCUUUUAGUUGUGCUGUCGCAUCCAGUGGGAAGUGGAGGUGGCAGUUACAGAAGUCUUCUUGUUUAUGCUUCCCCAGGUGAUGCUCCCCUUGCCAGAGGUUUGUAAAAUUUGAGCUUGCCUGUCCCGUGCGGUUCAGCACCUCUGCGAUGCUUAGGAACCUUUAGGUACACACGCUAAGCUCUGUGUACUUUCUGAAAACCACAUGGUGGUCAGUGUGCACGUGAACACUUUGCACACUUUCUAAAAUCCACGUAAGUGGUAAGUGUGCACACAAGACUCUGCGCACUUUCUGAAAUCCUGUACGGUAAGGGUUACGCGCUCCGCCUUGUUCCCUUUCUUGAGAUGAUUAGACCUUGGUCCCUUGGGCUCCAUUCAGCCAGUGUGUAUUUGUUUAUAUACUUCAAGCAUCGCUUCCCUCAACAUGAGGGGCUAUUUGAGCGAUUCUUGUGGUAGUUUAGCAGCGCUCCCCUUUUCCAAGAAGGGUCGCCUAUGAGUGCGCUACUCUGAAUUCGGAGUUCUCCUCUCAUAUGAGACUGAGUUCUCUGUUUUUUUCCCCAAAGUGCUCCAGCAUUAUUUCCACAGAUCGAGUUGAUGACUCUCAAACAUACUGUUUUGAGAUGCACCAUUCCAUCUAUGAGCUGUUCUAUCAGAGUGCCACGAGAGCCCCUCCUUAGAACAGUAUUUGAAAAUCCAUGCUAUGGUAAGUGUGCACAUGAAGUCUUUGCACACUUUCUGAAAUCCACACUUUGGUAAGUUCACACACUAGUAUUCUACGUUCUUUCUAAAAUCCUAUAUGGUGAGGGCUUUGUGUGGUUGCUUCGUGCCCUUUCUUGAGUUGGUAAAAGCCCCGUUCAUCUUGGGCGCCACUUCACCUAUGUAUCCUCGGACACCUAUCUAAACAGGGUGUUGCUACUAGAGAUCCGUUGAGACAGCUCCUUCAGCAAGCUUAUGCGAAAGCAAGCGGUAGCCCCUGUGUGACAGGCAAGACUUUAAAGGAGUCUUUCCUGAUUCCAAGCCUUCAGCUCUACCCUGGGCCGAGGCCCUAACAAUUAAGUUGGGUAUGUAGCUUAGGCCUUUGGCCGUAAGAGGUACUGUCACAGACAGCCGUCUAAACGUCUCAGGGGCAACUCCCAUGGAAAUGGUAGAGUUGAUACUUAGUGUUCACCAUGAUUCUGGGCUGCACUCACCUCAGCAUGGCGGCGUGGGUAUACUGUUCCCCAUAGCGACCCCUAGAGGACGCAGUUCGAAGUUCCCUUGAAAAGGAAUGUCUCAGGUUACGGACUUCAGACUUUAGACAUGGGUCACGACGAGGUGUUCCCCAUAGCGACCCCUAGAGGAUGCAGUGUCUCGUUCCCUACUCAGGGAACCAUGGUUACAUUUGUAAUCUGAGACGUUUUGUACACCUUGUCAUGUUAAUUAUAAUUCAAAUGCGUUUUUUUAUUGACCACGAUAUCAUUGCUAUUUGUCUAAGAGGAGCACUUUUGAAUAAUUUUGAAAAAGGACAGGGACUUGAGCUGUUAGGCGCAUAUCCAAUCGUUUGUGUGCAAGAGUGGAAGGCACUAGUGCAAUCACUUGCAUUUUUUUCUAACAGUGGAAAUAGACUAAAUAUGCCGUCAUUUUUGCUCAUAAAGGUAAGAGUAAUACAUAAUUCGGAACUGUAAAGGGUCUGCUUUUAUUUGUGUGCGCUCACAAUAUCAACAAAACGUUGUGCUUUGAUAAAAUAAAUAGGAAAACAGCGGAUAUGCAUUCUGCCAUCUCGGUCUUGAACAGGAGUGCUUUACAAUGAUGAACUGAAACUCAGCAAAUUGCUUCAGAGACAUGAUAUACAAAUAUAUAUCUAUAGAAAGCUUUAAAUUACUACUUUAAAAUGAAAUAAUUCAAAUCAAAAAUAGAAAGUCUUUCAUUAUGUAAUCUGUAAAGAUGCAUUUCUCUCUAAAGGCAUGUCCAAUGACGUGAUGGCGAGUCAUUUUUUUGUCACCAUAAUUGAUGGAUGUCUAAAAUAUAAAAAUAAGGAAAAGCCUAAAACAGGCCCGAUUAUAAUUUGUUUUAUUUUUUAUAAUUCUAUACAAUUAAAAAAUAAAACACACAUUAUAAUGGCAUAGGCUAUAUGUACAACUUUGUCCAAUAUUUGUAUAGCUGCUUAUAUUUUCUGAUUUUUAUGUUGCUCUGUUCAGAAUACCUUAAAAUUUAAAGGAUUUGCUGCAAUUCAAUAUUGUCUGAUAUGUGAAUAAUUUAUUUGCAUAUUAGUAGGCCUAUUUUUUAAAUCCAUGCUGCAAAUGCUUUAAAAACAGCUUUAAAAAUUACUUUAUUGCAUUCCAGAUGCUUUUAAAGAACUUUUCACUAUACAUUUAACGGGUAGCUUAAAUAUAAAACAUUUUCAUGAAUUUGUUGUAUUCCCAUUUGUAAAAUAGCCUAAUUAACUGUUGUAGGCUAACCUGAUCUCAUGUUGAAGAUGCUUAUUAUAGCUCGAUUUUCUGUUUCUAUUUGGCACAGUAUUUAUAUGAAAAAAUUGACGUUUGCUGCAAAAGACUGAUAAAUUCAUAAUUAAUGGCAUGGCUGGUUCAGUCGACAGAAAUACAGGACACAUAUAGCUACUCAUGAUACACAGCGGUAAACAUGCCUUCAGCCAUACACUUGCACUUUGGAUGGGUUAAAUGCGGAGCACGAAUUCUGAGUAUGGGUCACCAUACUUGGCUGUAUGUCACGUCACACAGCAGCUUUCCUCCUUAAAUGUUUAACAAACAGCUAAUUUUAAGACGCUGACGUCACGUCUGGUUGUCACGUGGGUCACUCGCAGUGUAAGACGCUCAAAGCUCAAGACGUUCGGUUUGACGUUUGAUCGGUCGGUCGGUCGUUCGAACAUAUGGAGUUCCACCGAGCUCUUUAAUAUGACGUUGUAACACGCACUUGUCUCACUGAACGUCACGUCUGCCGAACGUCACGUCUGCGCCUGCCACAUUACAGUUCUAUGAGGUGUGAUUUAUGCACUUUUUGCUACUCACUAAGCAGACUGAGAGGAGAACUGACGUGUAUACGCUCGCCAGCCGUCUGGCCAAAAUCCCAUAGUAUUCAGGCGUCAGACGUAAGAUAUGAGACGUUAGACGUCACGGUCACGUGUUGGAGCUGUGCUCAAACUGCGCGGCGGCGUGGCGGCGACGGAGCAAAGAAAGGAUUUUUUUUACUUUGCAUCUGGAUAACGUAUGUGUGGAUAAACGUCUGGAUAACGUACGUGUGGAUAAACGUCUGGAUAACGUACGCGUGGAUAAGCGUCUGGGUAACGUACGCUUGGAUAAGCAUCUGGAUAACGUACGUGUGGAUAAGCGUAUGUGUGAAUAAGCGUACGUGUGAAUAAAUACAUUGAUAAUCAUUUGGCUUUGUCCUAUUUUGCCCCAAGGAAGGCUUUACGGUGGUAAUGGUCAUGAUAACAGUACCUAAAGUACACAUCUGUCUCCCCAGUGGCAUAGUCUGGGUGUGUUUUAAUAUGAGAAUUCUUGGCCCGAGUCGGACUGGAUACCGUGACUUUUUUCUCUCUCUCUUCCCUUAUUACACAGCUAUUAAAAUAGUUAAAAUAGUUUUGUUUUUUAAUAGAAAAGUUGUCAAAUUUCUUUUUGUUUCUUUAUUAAGUUAAUUUAGAAAUAUGUUUGGAACAUUUUGUGUUUGGUAAAUUCAAGUUUUUGUUUUUUAAAGGAACGAGCAAGCUGCAGCGGCGGAUAGUGAGUUGAGCAUUAUGUUUGAUCAAUUUAGCCUUCUCAAACCAACACGACUUAAUACACUUCAUGCAUUCCACAGCAUUAAUUUAAACAUUUAACCUAGAUAAAUGAUCGCUGUUAGGCGCAUAUCCAAUCGUUUGUGCGGAGAGUGAGCGCUUUGCAGGACAUGGGUCAGCUUUUUUUUAAAUUUUUUUUUUUAAUGACAGUAAAAACUUAAAAAUACGCCGUCAUUUUUGCUCAUAAAGGUAAGAGUGUGCAUCAUUCGGAACGGCAAAGGGUCUACUUUUAUUUGUGUGCACUCACAAUAUGAACAAAACCUUAUGCUUUUGUAAAAUAAGGAAAACAAACAGGAUGUGCUUAUUGUAUUGGUCUUGAGCAGGAGCGCUUCACCAUCAUGAUAAAUAUAUCUAUAGAAUGCUUUUCUAUAGAAUAUCUAUAGAAUGCUUUUUGCAUUUUAAAUUACUAUUUUAAAACGAAAUAAUUCAAAUCGAAAACAAAAACUCUUUCAUUAUGUAAUCUAAAGAUGCAUUUCUCUCUCAAUGCACGUCCAGUGAGGAGAUGGCAAGUCAGUUCGUCAAAUUAAUUUUUGCAACAACAUUGACUCAGAAGAAAUUAGUUUAUUAAGACAUAAUUCAAAUAUCUCACCACUAUUUUUACUUUUUUUGUUUGUUUGUUUUUUUAUUGAUUUAUUUGUUGUUUGUUUGUUUUUGGGCCGCUGUGCAAAAAUUGUGUUUGCAUUCAGUAGCCUAUAAGGCAGCAUUUUGUGCCACGUUGAAAAAUAACAGAAUAAAUAAGAUUAACGUCAUAAUAUUUUAAGAAUAAAAUGUCAAAAUUACGAUAAUAAAAUUAUGUUAUAUUGUGAAGUGAAAAAAAGUCUGUGGCAUCCAUCAUUCUUUUAACUUUUCUUAACUAACUCUGAUUGAUCGAUUCAUGAGACAUUCGUUUGUAUUAAAUUGUUCUGAUUUUUUUUUCAACAUGCAUUCAAAUAUUCAUGUUUAUUUCGUGCUGCAAAUAUUAAAGAGGAAAAUAUCAUUGAUUCAUAUGCAGCUACUGAACAAAUUAUCUCAAUCUACAAGUUUUUUGCACAUGUGCCUGGAGCUGACUCGCUACGCCACAGUUUCCCUACGACUGUGAUCAUAAGGCUUCAGUAGAUAUCAACACAUGAAAAGUAGGCUACUAUAUAGACAUAACACUUGAAAAUGAAAAUGUGUCAAACUGGGUAGACCAGUUUCAAAACAUUUUCAAAUAGGCCUAUAUGUAUAAACGUAUUAAUUAUUUAUCAAUAUAUAGCCUCUUAAUUUGAACAUGUAGAGUAGCUUACAAGAAACUGCUCUGGUAAUAAGCAGCUGUAUGGCAUGAAAAAAACAAAACCUGAACUCUGAAAUAAUAGACAUCUGCUGAUCAUACAGUUAUCUAGUUUUCAGAAAUGAGGUCUACUCUAUAGUGAUUUUUUUCUUUAGAGACGUGUUGUAUUAACUAUUACCAGUAAAUUCAUAUGUGCUCAGAUUAAAAUUAGCCUAUAUUAUUAUUGUAUUAUUUCAUUUAAGCUGUAACUGUGAAUAUAUUUGGACACUCCAUGUUAGUCACUGAAUAGACUUACAUGAUUUUCAAUUGAUUUUUAGGUGAUAUUGUUUGAAAAGUGAUUUAUAAUGAGUGCAAAAAAAAAAAAAAAAAACAAUUAUUUAUACAGUUUAUUUUAUUAUCAAAGCCUAGACCCUAUGUGAUAACAUAACCUGAGGCUAAAAGCUGUGAUAUUAAUGCUGUCCACUAGAGAGAGCCACAUUAUAAGGAAUAGGCCUAUUUAAAGCUUAUUUUUAAAAAUCAAUUUCCACACUUUUGAAAAGAAACGAAUGCAUAUAACAAUUUAAUUUAACUAUGAUGUACUGACAGUAUAGUUUUAUAUAAUCCGUGUGCAUUGCUUAUCCCAAAGAUUUUUCAAUUGUUUCAAUUUUACUAAAUGCUGUCUUAGUUUUUCUCGAUUCCUAACACACAAUUCAUGAAACAAUUUACCCCUUUCUCACAACUAUAAACACAUUCUCAUAACAAACAAACUUGUGCUAACUUUCAUGUAAAAAUCAAAUUCUCCAGUCAAAAACCAUUACAUCUAUCAAUAUCAAACUUUGGCCUCAGAUGACAAAACCUACAGUACAAAUACACACACUAUAAAAUCCAAUAGUUUGCCUUACUUAAAUAUAAUAAGUUAUCUUUACUUAGUUGUUAUACUUACUAGGUUUUAUUAAGUUACUGCUCAUUUUAAAGCGAAUAAAACAACUUGCUGCAAUGAGUAAUUCUUAAAAUAUGCAAGUAGCUACAACAAAACCGAUGACAUUACUUCACCAGUGAGAGGCAGCAGUGCGCUAAUGUGUUGCUAAUGCGCAACAAAACAACAGAAGAAGAAAUAAGGACGGUUAGAGAGCAUGCGCAACAAGCGAUGUUUUGAAUUUCUGCGUCGAAUUUGCUGAAACUACGAAGAAGUAGAGAGACUGCUUGCAUUUUACCUCUGGACAAAGACUGAUUACUUCUACACAAUAUAAUAAGGUAAGUUUAAAAAAAAAAUAAUUGUGUGUGGAUGUAUCUUUCUGUGUGCUGUUAAUUUUAACUGACUAACAUUAGCUCCUUGUCAGCACCAGUGUUAGCUAACAGGCAGCAAAGAUCUUUGCUAUUAGAACAAAAACUGUAGAAAUACAGAACUUGUGGCACAUUUUGGUAAAUUUGAAACUUUUUAAAACUUUUUUUAUUUCUCAAAUUGAAAAAAUGUGUUGCUAGUUAAAAAUGAACGCAUGAAAAUUCGAGGUACGAUUCAAGAACAUGCCAAAAGUCUCCAAGAUGAGCUCACAGUAGUUUUUUAAGACAAUCUUUAUGUGCCACUGAUAGUAUUCAUUGUUAACAGUAAUCUUUUGCUAAAUUCCCUCUAUAAUUUUAUAACACUAUGAGGCUUUUGACACUUUUUAGGUUAAAGUCAUUUUUCAGUUUACAGUUUUGUCAACAUUUUAAUACAAUCAUAGUCAUUACGCGAUCACACAUUUAAGAUUUAAACUGAAUGAGCUCGUUGUCUUGCAGUAAUUAUUUCUUUGCUGUGUUGAAACACUAAGUACUGUAACAGAAGAAAUGUUGCUUUUGAAUUGGUUUUACGACUGAGGCCUCAAGUCGAUAUGUAUAAAAAUGUUCUUUCUAUUGUAAAACAUGCAAAUAUCAAGAAACUAGGGGUGCACGAUAUAUAUCGGCCGAUGAUUAAUGCGCAUCUCGUCAGUAAAGCCGGUUCUCUAAUCAGCGGUAAAUUCCAACAGGUGCGCGAUUUCACAUAGAGCAGCAUUUCUUUUAUUUAAAUGUAUAUUUAAGUUUACAUUUAUGUUCCAACAAACUUGAAAAAUUCUGCUUGAUAAAUGCUCUAAAACUUUUAUGUAAAUGAUUGACUUUUAUAUAUAUAUAUAUUACCUGUUUUAUAUAUUUAAUACUUGGUCCGUUUAUUGAUUUGUUUGGUUAACUUUAGAUAUUUCUUUUUUAUUUGUAAUACCGUGGAGUGCACAAAAUUAAGAUUCGAGAGAUGGUUCAAGUCAGUGCUCAAUAAAUGAUGUUAAGUUUAGAAAUGUUGUGCAUCCACUUAUUAUUAGUGUGACAUUUUAGCAUGCAAAUGAGGGGAAAAACUUCAAGAUAUCAGCCCUAAAAAUCGGCAGCACAUAUCGGCCAUCGGCUGACCCUGACCUCUAAACAUCGGCAUCGGCUAUAGAAAAACCCAUAUCGGUCGAUCUCUACUCUGAACAGCGGUCUUGUGAACAUGGGCCUCAGUACAAUAAAGAGGACACUUCACACCCUACAACCCGUAAAAAUAACCCAGAUUCGUCAGAACUACACACCCAUCUGAGGCCUACUGUACCUGUUUUACUUCAUGAUCACCCCAGAUACUUCUACAAUUGACCCGCUUUAGCUCUUAGCUGAACACAAUGAACCAUGCUGUAGAACACCUGGAGUGACGUCGCUGCUCAGGGUGUCUGAUAUUGAUGCAGUCUGGGCACUAGUAUCUGUUGGCUUGCUGACUAUCACUGAAGAUGAAGUACUUCUCCAAAUCUUCUCUGCCUUGACCCUGUGUCUUCUGCCAUCAUUGUUCAGUGUAGUACUGCAAAGAACCGUCUCCAGGGUCUACCUCGCACAUUUGCUUCCGGACCGCCAUGUGCUACGUUUGGAUUACUGGUACAUGAAGAUUACCCUGAUACUGUGAAGAACACUUACAAUAUGAUGCUUGACUUGGGACAGAAAAAAAAAAACACUGGCAACUUGUGUGGCCAACUCAUUGCCAUACUUAAUCUCAUCUUACUGCUACCUCCACUGUUUAGUAUAAACAAAAGCAGACAGUUUUUGCUUUGUUUCAAAAUGUUUGUAAUACAAGUUAAAACUGCAUUGAAAAAUAUAAAAAAUAUAUUAUCUUUAACUUUGAACUGUCACUACCUUUGAUUUAUGGGUAAUUAUGUGUGUGAAGAAUAGAACAUUGUUGUCAUGAAUUUUUAAUGGAUGUUUGAACCAUAUUAAGUUACUGGAGUAACGCUAACUUCUUCUUUUUUUUGUUUUUUUUAUUUAAGGCAAUUGGUUAAAACUAGAUUGCUGUUCAAGUAAAUACAACUUAGAAAUGUUACUUGAUUUAGCUAAACUUAAAUGAGUUGUUUGAAAUACGCACAUAGUAUAUUGCAAUUAAUAAUUUAGUUGUUGAAAAAAGUGAUUCUGAGUUACAAGAACUUGAGUGUAAGUUUACAACAAAUAAACCUUUGUUAGUACAAAUUACUAUUCUUAUUUCACUUUACUUGUUUUUUUUUCAAGGCAAUCGGUUUGCAUGCUUUUUUAAAAUAACUAAUUAGAAUCAGACAACUUCCCUGCCCAGUGAACACUAGUGAGAUCAACUCAGAACACUGUAGCUGUAAUAAAGUACUGUUAUUAUAGUUACUAUACUGUACUACACUGUGUGGUUCUUUCAGCUCUCUCUUCAGUGCUAGGAUGCAUUUUUAAAGCAGUCACCUGUGCUCCUGUUUAUACUAUCCUGAGAUUCUGACUGGUGUCAUCAGUUUUGCUACUGAAUGCUUGCUAAUUGUGUGUUAUUUGAGUUCACACUGUGACACUAGAGUUAAUUAUUUGAUGUGUAUGUGUUUUAUGAGUGAGAACAUAAAAUAUCUGUAAAAUGAGGCCAACUUUGGAGAAAUCAUUAAAAAAAUUGGAAUGUGUGGAUAGAUGCAUUCCAGUAUAAUAUAUAGCCUAGAAUAUUAUAAUUUCUAAAAUACUAAAUUAUUAAAACAUUACAUGAUUGAAGUGUUUACUCAUGGUCCAUCGUUAAUUUAGAAUUUGGCCUUUGGAUUUAACUGUGUUAAUGCAUUAAGCCAUUUUUCGAUUAACGGUUUUCUGGGGGACAAAACACAUAAACUUAUAAAAAUGUUGUCUUUCCAUUUACUUUAUACUGCCAUUAUCUUGUGCCAUUAGUGAUAUAUGGUGCUUACAAGAAAGCUGUGAAUUGGUUGUUCCUGGUUGUUGUUUUACAAGUGCACUUCUAAACAACAUUGUAAGUUCAUUGAUUAGCUAUAUUGCAGUGUAAUUUUAAUUUUACUCGUCAUAUUUUCGUCAACGUUCUGAACGUUAUGAAAUAUUCGGGGAUUUGGAGGUGCUAAAAUGAUAUAACAUGCAGGUUUUUUUGUUUCUUUUUGCUCCAAACAAAACAAAACACUAAUCUACAGCACUUAAGACAUUUGACAAAAUCACACACACAACUGGCAAAAGGUAUUACAGACGACAAGGCGUAGACGUCACGUAGCUUCUCACGCGAGAAGUGGGGCGACGAAAGUGUCGCGCUUCUUAUCACACAUCCUUGGUCACGGCAAGGUAC